rnacentral:rRNA from 1 species
GGAUUAGAUACCCGGGUAGUCCAUGCCGUAAACGAUGUCUACUAGCCGUUGGGGCCUUUGAGGCUUUAGUGGCGCAGCUAACGCGAUAAGUAGACCGCCUGGGGAGUACGGUCGCAAGACUAAAACUCAAAUGAAUUGACGGGGGCCCGCACAAGCGGUGGAGCAUGUGGUUUAAUUCGAUGCAACGCGAAGAACCUUACCUGGCCUUGACAUACUAGAAACUUUCCAGAGAUGGAUUGGUGCCUUCGGGAAUCUAGAUACAGGUGCUGCAUGGCUGUCGUCAGCUCGUGUCGUGAGAUGUUGGGUUAAGUCCCG